CCUACGGGAGGCAGCAGUGAGGAAUAUUGGUCAAUGGACGAGAGUCUGAACCAGCCAAGUAGCGUGAAGGAUGACUGCCCUGUGGGUUGUAAACUUCUUUUAUAUGGGAAUAAAAUGUUCCACGUGUGGGAUUUUGUAUGUACCAUAUGAAUAAGGAUCGGCUAACUCCGUGCCAGCAGCCGCGGUGAUACGGAGGAUCCGAGCGUUAUCCGGAUUUAUUGGGUUUAAAGGGAGCGUAGGUGGAUUGUUAAGUCAGUUGUGAAAGUUUGCGGCUCAACCGUAAAAUUGCAGUUGAAACUGGCAGUCUUGAGUACAGUAGAGGUAGGCGGAAUUCGUGGUGUAGCGGUGAAAUGCUUAGAUAUCACGAAGAACUCCGAUUGCGAAGGCAGUUCACUGGACUGCAACUGACACUGAGGCUCGAAAGUGUGGGUAUCAAACAGGAUUAGAUACCCCUGUAGUC
rnacentral:rRNA from 1 species